AGAGUGGCAAGACGGGUGAGUAACACGUGGGAACCUUCCCUAUAGUACGGAAUAGCCCAGGGAAACUUGGAGUAAUACCGUAUACGCCCGAAAGGGGAAAGAAUUUCGCUAUAGGAUGGGCCCGCGUAGGAUUAGCUAGUUGGUGAGGUAAUGGCUCACCAAGGCGACGAUCCUUAGCUGGUUUGAGAGAACGACCAGCCACACUGGGACUGAGACACGGCCCAGACUCCUACGGGAGGCAGCAGUGGGGAAUAUUGGACAAUGGGCGCAAGCCUGAUCCAGCCAUGCCGCGUGAGUGAUGAAGGCCUUAGGGUUGUAAAGCUCUUUUGCCGGGGACGAUAAUGACGGUACCCGGAGAAUAAGUCCCGGCUAACUUCGUGCCAGCAGCCGCGGUAAUACGAAGGGGACUAGCGUUGUUCGGAAUCACUGGGCGUAAAGCGCACGUAGGCGGAUUCGUAAGUCAGGGGUGAAAUCCCGGGGCUCAACCUCGGAACUGCCUUUGAUACUGCGGGUCUUGAGUCCGAUAGAAGUGGGUGGAAUUCCUAGUGUAGAGGUGAAAUUCGUAGAUAUUAGGAAAGAACACCGGUGGC
rnacentral:rRNA from 1 species